rnacentral:rRNA from 1 species
GUGCCAGACUCCUACGGGAGGCAGCAGUGGGGAAUAUUGCACAAUGGGGGGAACCCUGAUGCAGCGACGCCGCGUGAGUGAAGAAGUCAUUCGUGAUGUAAAGCUCUAUCAGCAGGGAAGAAAAUGACGGUACCUGACUAAGAAGCCCCGGCUAACUACGUGCCAGCAGCCGCGGUAAUACGUAGGGGGCAAGCGUUAUCCGGAUUUACUGGGUGUAAAGGGAGCGUAGACGGCAGCGCAAGUCCGAAGUGAAAGCCCGGGGCCCAACCCCGGGACUGCUUUGGAAACUGUGAAGCUGGAGUGCGGGAGGGGCAGGCGGAAUUCCUGGUGUAGCGGUGAAAUGCGUAGAUAUCAGGAGGAACACCGGCGGCGAAGGCGGCCUGCUGGACCGUAACUGACGUUGAGGCUCGAAAGUGUGGGGAGCAAACAGGAUUAGAUACCCUAGUA